CUGCUGACGAGUCCAAAACAGGACGAAACAGCUGUCCAG
rnacentral:hammerhead_ribozyme from 1 species